AUGCCAGGAAAAUACAAUCCAAGCACUCCUGACAGAUGGCCAACCAGCUUCUGCUUAAACCCCCCAGAAAAGGCGACUCCACCAAACUUCAAAGCAGCAGCAGAUUCCUGUACUGAGCAGUUCGUAACAUCAAGGAGAAUGGCUGAAUUAUGGAAUAAUAGAGCUGGAAGAGACCACAUGGGCCAUCUAGUCCAAGAAGAAGAUGUUUUUGCUGGUCUUGGUCCUCUACCAUCUUAAAUAGUUUGGCACAUUUUGUAUUACAAUAGAGUCUCACUUAUCCAACACUCGCUUAUCCAACGUUCUGGGUUAUCCAAUGCAUUUUUGUAGUCAAUCUUUUCAAUAUAUCAUGAUAUUUUGGUGCUAAAUUCGUAAAUACAGUAAUUACUACAUAGCAUUACUGUGUAUUGAACUACUUUUUCUGUCAAAUUUGUUGUAUAACAUGAUGUUUUGGUGCUUAAUUUGUAAAAUCAUAACCUAAUUUGAUGUUUAAUAGGCUUUUCCUUAAUCCCUCCUUAUUAUCCAACAUAUUCGCUUAUCCAAUGUUCUGCGGCCCGUUUACGUUGGAUAAGUGAAACUCUACUGUAUCAGUAUGAACUUGGAUAUAGAAGCAAGCUCAGGGAAACUAGUUGAACUAGACCACUAGACUCUCUUUCUCAGAAUUGUCAACUAUGACAGUAGUUUCAGGCAGGAACCAAAGAUUAUUGUAUAAUAAGCCACUUUGGGUUCUAUAUUGGAAGGAAGUUGGGAUAUAAAUUAAAGAAAAGUUUAGAACUGAAAUGUCAAAAUCAAGGGUCCUUAAAACGUUUUAAGCUGAGGAUUGGUUCAUGGUCCCUCAGAGUGUUGUGGGCUAUUGUUUGAAAAAGAUCUGAAUGAAUUCCUAUGCACACUGUACAUAUCUUAUUUUUAGUGCAAAAACUUGAAAGGACAAUAUUUAAAACGAACAAUUUAAAGAACACUUUCAACCAAUAUAAACUUACUAGUAUUUCAAUGGGAAGUGUGGGCUUGCUCUUGACUGAUGAGAUAGUCAGGUGAAUUAGGACUGUAGUUAUGUGCCUUCAAGUCGUUUUAGACUUGGGGAGGAAUGUUGCCCUUCCCUGUAAUAUUAGUCAAAAGCAAACUAAUGCAACUUCUUCUAUAUUGUAUGUUCUUCCUCAUGAAUAGGUUUCACCAUUUUAACUCCACUCUGAUGUUGAUUGGCCAGGUGUGUCUCGUUUUCAUUGUGAAAUGUUGAGCCACCUAAUCCCCACUCCUGUCCGUAAGGUUAUGUGCUCCAAUGACAUACCUUCUUCCCUUUUGUAGGAGAAAAUGAGAAAUUCCUCUCAUCCAUAUUAGUGACACUUGCACCCUUUCUGUUAACAAGCUCAAUAGACUCAAAAUAUAUGUUUGCAUUGGAGUGAACAAUGAAAUAAAAGGCAUGCGUCAUGUGUAUUGUCUUCCGUGGAAAAUAAAAGAGGCCUUUUCAGAUAAGUUCAAUUAUUUUUGUGAAACCCAAAUACAUGAAUAGUCAUUCCUAUUCAUACACUGCCAUGGAGGGUUGAAUUAGAGUCAUGUUUGCAGAACGUUUAACACUCUCCACACGCACACUUUGAAUUAUACCUGGAGACCCUUUUCUCAUUUGAAUUUGAAAAUGGUUACUUGUAAUGAAUAUAAAGAAAGGUUAUACUCCAGGUGGACAUCCCCAUCCCACAUAGUGAUACAUGCUGCACAUCCAGAUGUUCAUUCUGAAGUCAGUUUAAGGUGCUUUGUUGUUUCCAAUUUGUAUUUGUUUUGAUGAUUUUCCUUCUGGGGACACUCAGAAAUCCCCAACCAUCAUAAUAAUUCCUAUAAUUUAAAUAGGAAUACAGCACCCCCCCCCCCCAAUCCAUGGAUUCACUUUUCACAGUUUCAGUUAUCCACAGAAAACUGCAGCCCAAAGAGAUUAAUUCUUCUUUGCUUUAUGUGGUUUCAGUUAUCUGCAGUCCAAAAAUAAUACUGGUAUAGGGAUUGCAGUUUCAAACAUCCAUGGGAAGUCUUGGAACAUAUCCUCUGCUGAUGAAGGGGAUAAUAUGGCAAAUAUUAUUAAUGACAAAACACACAAAAACCAGAAGAUGCUGUUGCAGUUUGCAUUUGCCCUAGAGCCCUUCCACAUUGUAAUAUAACUCAGAAUAUCAAUGCAGAUAAUCCACAAUAUCUGCUUUGAACUGGGUGUUAAUCUGAGUCCACACUGCAAUAUAAUCCAGUUCAAUGUGGAUUUUAUACAGCUGUGUGGAAGGAGCCUUAGUCUACAGGGAAGAGCAAUAUUUCACCCCUUCCUCUCUUCUCUAAUCCUCACCUUCAUGUUAAAUUAAUAGACUUAGAAAACUACUUUUGCCCUUUGAUUUCUGUUUGCAGAGACUGGAGUAAGCUGAGGACAAAUGGGGAAAGUGAUGAGAGAAGAGAAAGAAAACAGGACAUUUUAAAAACAGCAGAAAAAUGGGAUGAUGGAGGAUUAAUUGGGGUUACUCUGUCAAAUUGGAACCGUUAAGGGUUAUGUUCCUUGGGACUGAAUUCUGUAAAUCAUUUUGGAUAUUAAUCUUUAAAAAUAUGGAAACAAUUUAUAAAUGUUUUAGCAAUAAACUAAAAGAAAUGUAUGAAUCAGAUGCCUCACCAGGUUUGAGGUUCGUAUUAAUCAGGGUAGGUCAGAAUUAGCAAUGCUGAUUGAGUUACAUUGGCAGAGCACUUCAUGAGUGCUGCCUCACGGGAGCACUGUUGGACAGCUGUUCUCAUUUCUCCCGCAUUCAGGCUCACUCUCUUGCUCUGUUUUCCACUCCGCCUUGGUUCAUUUACCAGUCAAGAAUGUUCACAUACAGUCUGGACAACUAAAUUAGAGAUGUGAUCUAAAUUGCCACUGGUAAUCGGCAACGGUCUGUGCAGAUUUUCUGCAGGAGUUGCAAUUUCUAUCCCUCUGUCAUGGCCUUUGCUGUGUUCAUCGGAUUGCACUAUGUUUCCUGUGCCAGCAUCCUCUGAGUACUGGUGGAUGAUGGUUUAUCCCUGCGCCCCUUAUCAGGAUGACAGCAAAGGCAUCUAGUUUCCAUCUUUUGAACAUCCGUAGCCCAUUGAAACUGUCCAUCUGCUUUUCCAGACUUUGGUUAGGUCAUGCCUGGAUUAUUGUAAUAGCUUAUUGGUAGGUUUGCCUUCCUGCUUGUUUCUGCCUCUGUUUUAAAUCUUCCUAAAUAUAUACAGACAAUUUAGAAACAAGAUACCAGUUUCUGAAGGUUUAUUCUUUAGUUUAAUUUGUAUAUAUGGCAGAACAGGUACAUUUUUAAGUGUAAGUGCAGCAAUUUACAUACACACACGCAGGCUUUUGAUAGCACGGGACGGGUUAACAGUAACACCCCUGUGGUGUUCAUUUUGCUGUCUGUGCCCCUGUUCAGAGGAUUUCAUCCAACUUCUGUCUCUGUGAUAAUUGGAUUUUGAAAAAAUUGGCUUGUUGUGGAAACAAGGAUUGGUAAUAAAGCUUCAUUAGAGAACACACUUUCCCCAUGAUAACUCUUUCAGGAGUGAAUUUCCCUUCUAAUUGGUAGAUUUCUCUCACUCCUAUUCUUAACUAUUAGUCAUUUGUAAGUCAGGAGUUUGUAACUCGGGAACUGCUUGUAUGCACCUUUUCCUCCAUAGAUACUUUCAUUGCCUUCCAGUUCAGGCCAGGAUAUGUUUGAAACUUUUGGUUUUUAUAUUUAUGGCUCUGCACUCUCGUCUCUCACAGUUCCUGGUAACUUGGCUAGCAUAGUAUGCACCAUCGAUGAAUAUGAGAUACACAAGCAAAUGAUUAUUGCCUGUUCCACUGAUGUGCACAAUGCUAUCAAGUAGAGAUGUGCAUGAAAAUUUUUCCUUCGUUUCCUUCAACUGUUCAUCUACACAAAAUGAAUGAUGUGAGGAAAUGAGAGGCGACACGAAACUGAAAGCCGCACAGUCAUCGUGCUUGCUUUCAUUUAGUUUCUGCCCCGUAACAAUAAGCAGGUACUGACAGAGGGCUUAUAGCUGAUGUGUACCAAUGGGUGUUAAUAUAAUAAUGUUAUUAACAAUCAGGGCCGGCCGGAGAUAUUUUUAAAUGUUAAGCGGGGGUGCUAAAAAGCGCCCCCGCCACCGGCCCUG
rnacentral:lncRNA from 11 species